GAGGGUAUAGCUCAGGUGGUAGCACGCAUGCUUAGCAUGCAUGAAGUCCUGGGUUCAAUCCCCAGUACCUCCU
rnacentral:tRNA from 1 species